UACGUAGGGGGCGAGCGUUGUCCGGAUUUAUUGGGCGUAAAGCGCGUGCAGGUGGUUGGUUAAGGCCGAUGUGAAAUCUCCCGGCUCACCUGGGAGGGUGCGUUGGCGACUGGCCGACUGGAGGCAGGUAGAGGCCGGUGGAAUUCCCGGUGUAGUGGUGAAAUGCGUAGAUAUCGGGAGGAACACCAGUGGCGAAAGCGGCCGGCUGGGCCUGUCCUGACGCUGAGACGCGAAAGCGUGGGGAGCGAACCGG
rnacentral:rRNA from 1 species